GACCGCGUAGCUCAGUUGGAAGAGCAUUGGGCUAGUAUUCCAAAGGUUGUAGGUUCGAAUCCCACCGUGGCCA
rnacentral:tRNA from 1 species